UAGGGAAUCUUCGGCAAUGGGGGGAACCCUGACCGAGCAACGCCGCGUGAGUGAAGAAGGUUUUCGGAUCGUAAAGCUCUGUUGUUAAGGAAGAACGAGUGUGAGAAUGGAAAGUUCAUACUGUGACGGUACUUAACCAGAAAGGGACGGCUAACUACGUGCCAGCAGCCGCGGUAAUACGUAGGUCCCGAGCGUUGUCCGGAUUUAUUGGGCGUAAAGCGAGCGCAGGCGGUUAGAUAAGUCUGAAGUUAAAGGCAGUGGCUCAACCAUUGUAGGCUUUGGAAACUGUUUAACUUGAGUGCAGAAGGGGAGAGUGGAAUUCCAUGUGUAGCGGUGAAAUGCGUAGAUAUAUGGAGGUACACCGGUGGCGAAAGCGGCUCUCUGGUCUGUAACUGACGCGGAGGCUCGAAAGCGUGGGGAGCGAACAGG
rnacentral:rRNA from 1 species